rnacentral:ncRNA from 1 species
ACGUUCUCAUUGGGGAGCUAGCCUAAGAAGAUACUUGUUAGCCAACAAACAACAUCUUAGGUUGACGCUGAGAUUGCAUACGCAGAACCCACAGAACCUGAACCAGCUAAUACUGGCGUAGGAAUUGAGAAGUCGCUGAUC